UCCCUAAAUGAAUCUCCAAAAUCCCCUACUCUCUCCUCUUUCUUCUUCCCAGCCCGAUACCACUCUUUCUUUUCUUCUCUCGCAUUUCAAUAGGCCAGACCAGAUGAGCCAUCUACGGCCACCACCCAAUGACACACACCCCACCACGAGCUUCCUUGGCCCCUGAAACCCUAAACCCAUGAAGCUCGCCUCCCCACUCGCCGGCCUCCGUCGCAACUGGCUCCCCGAAGUGAUCGAAUUCGUAUCUCUAAUGAGCCUCUGCUGUUAUCAUCAUAAGGGGUGUUGUUGCUUCUGAAGAAGAGUUGGCUUACCGCUGGAAGGAGUGCAGUGAAAAUUUGAGUGACCGCUUGGGUUCUGUUGUAGUUCCAAUUGGGUACUUGUUUACCGGACUUUGUGUUCAUCAUGUUGUACUAUUUAAAAUUUUGGCAGACUUGGUUAACUUACCUUGUCGAACUGUUAAGGGGUGCAAAUACUGUAGCAGGGAUGAUGCUGCCUCCUGCCUUGUGCAAUUCGAUUACGAAAAGGAAUAUUUGGUUGAUUUGCAUGAGAUGCCAGGAGUGUUUAGCCAGCCAGACUCUUCUCAUAAUAGUGCAUUGUCCAUUUCAGUUUCUUCACCACUUAGGCAUCCUAAAUUUAAAUAUGUCAAGCUCUUUUGGAACUGUCUAUCAUGCUAAAUGGCGUGGCUCAGAUGUUGUUGUCAAAGUUCUCAAGGAACAAGAUUUUCAUGCAAAGCACUUCAAAGAAUUUCUAGAGGAGGUAAAGGCAAGGGCAAGAUUGAUCAACCGUGAUUGGAGAGCUCUGCAGGGUGAAUGUACAUGACAGGCCGCUCAACCUCCACGAUUUGAGGAGAUUACAGGGACGAGAGGACCAGAACCUUGUAUUUUGCCUUAGUAUGGCUAAUGUUUACUUUUAAUAGUUGAAUUUUGUAAACCAGCUUUUAAACAUUGUUUUGGGGAUCCCUUCUGUAAAAUUGUUUAUAAUUUAUAAAAUGUAUCUUCUGAGGCCAAAAUGUCUUUUAGCCAUAGAGCACUUUAACUAAUGACACGUUUUGAUUAAAUGACUUGAUUACCAAGUUUAACAUCUUUAUAAACACAUAGUGUAGCGGUCUUGUCUAUCCAGGACGUUACAACUUGGUAUCAGAGCGUCCUAGGUUUAUGGGUUCCUGAAGACAGGCUGGACAUGUACAUUCGUUGCUAGAGACAAGCUCAAAUCAGGGUUCGGUAAAGGCAAGGGCAAGAUUGAUCAACCGUGAUUGGAGAGCUCUGCAGGGUGAAUGUACAUGACAGGCUGCUCAACCGCCACGGUUUGAGGAGAUUACAGGGACGAGAGGACCAGAACCUUGUAUUUUGCCUUAGUAUGGCUAAUGUUUACUUUUAAUAGUUGAAUUUUGUAAACCAGCUUUUAAACAUUGUUUUGGGGAUCCCUUCUGUAAAAUUGUUUAUAAUUUAUAAAAUGUAUCUUCUGA